ACCGGCGGCAUUCACUCUAUCUCUUGGGGGGCUAUCGCUCCGGUCACCCGGUCAUGUCUGUAUUCUAUCCUUCUCUCAUCUAUCAGAUCGAUUUUAUAGUGGUCUGUAAGCCUGUUAUCUCUAUAUUUUGUAACAUUGAACCAGCCUGGCUAGUUGCCAUGGUUGUUUAUCCAUGAUGUCAACUAUCAUACCAUAUAUUAUAGCCUACAUUCAUUCAUCCAUCCAUUCAUUUACUCAUUCAUCAACAUGUUCUACUCUCUCUCCUAGGUAACGAUUCCGGCUCUCUACCUACUGUCAUAAUCUAAGUUUUCAGCGCUCUCCUGACCAAGGUGCAUCUAUCAAUCAAAUCAUAACGCUCUGCUGUGUCUCUGCUCUCAGCGCAUCCGCGCCAUGUCUUCUCGCAUAGCCUAAGAUGGUGUCUCCUUGUAAGCGGUAGUUAAGCCGAUUUUGAAGCCACCACCACCCCUCCGUCCACCGUCACCAGUGGUUCCCGUCUGUUAGGGGGCAGGCUACGCCCGCCUCCAUCUCCGCUGGAGGAUAUGCUGUCCUACCCCGGAGUUCAACGCGAAGACGGGAACCUUCGCCAAACAGAUUCAUGCAUUUUGUAUCAAGUGUAAUUGUUCGCCAAACGGAUUCAUGCAUUUUUGUAUCAUGUCUAUUGUUCAAUAAAUGUUAAUAACGUUCA